rnacentral:rRNA from 1 species
AGUGGCGGACGGGUGAGUAACACGUAGGUAACCUGCCCCGGAGCGGGGGAUAACAUUUGGAAACAGAUGCUAAUACCGCAUAACAACAAAAGCCACAUGGCUUUUGUUUGAAAGAUGGCUUUAGCUAUCACUCUGGGAUGGACCUGCGGCGCAUUAGCUAGUUGGUGGGGUAAAGGCUUACCAAGGCAAUGAUGCGUAGCCGAACUGAGAGGUUGAUCGGCCACAUUGGGACUGAGACACGGCCCAAACUCCUACGGGAGGCAGCAGUAGGGAAUCUUCCACAAUGGGCGAAAGCCUGAUGGAGCAACGCCGCGUGGGUGAAGAAGGUCUUCGGAUCGUAAAACCCUGUUGUUAGAGAAGAAAGUGCGUGAGAGUAACUGUUCACGUUUCGACGGUAUCUAACCAGAAAGCCACGGCUAACUACGUGCCAGCAGCCGCGGUAAUACGUAGGUGGCAAGCGUUAUCCGGAUUUAUUGGGCGUAAAGGGAACGCAGGCGGUCUUUUAAGUCUGAUGUGAAAGCCUUCGGCUUAACCGGAGUAGUGCAUUGGAAACUGGGAGACUUGAGUGCAGAAGAGGAGAGUGGAACUCCAUGUGUAGCGGUGAAAUGCGUAGAUAUAUGGAAGAACACCAGUGGCGAAAGCGGCUCUCUGGUCUGUAACUGACGCUGAGGUUCGAAAGCGUGGGUAGCAAACAGGAUUAGAUACCCUGGUA